rnacentral:rRNA from 1 species
AAGACUAAAACUCAAAGAAAUUGACGGGGACCCGCACAAGCGGUGGAGUAUGUGGCUUAAUUCGAUGCAACGCGAAGAACCUUACCUAGGCUUGACAUGCUUGUCGUACUCUCCCGAAAAGGAGAGGUCACUUCGGGUGGACAAUGCACAGGUGCUGCAUGGCCGUCGUCAGCUCGUGUCGUGAGAUGUUUGGUUAAGUCCAGCAACGAGCGCAACCCCUGUGAACUGUUGCCAGCGCGUAAAGGCGGGGACUCUGUUCAGACUGCCCAGGUCAACUGGGAGGAAGGUGGGGACGACGUCAGGUCAGUAUGGCCCUUACGCCUAGGGCUGCACACGUACUACAAUGCCCAGCACAAUGAGAACCGAGACCGCAGGGUGGAGGAAAUCUGCAAAACUGGGCCCAGUUCGGAUUGGAGGGUGCAACUCGCCUCCAUGAAGUCGGAAUCGCUAGUAAUGCCGUAUCAGCUACGACGGCGUGAAUACGUUCCCGGGUCUUGUACACACCGCCCGUCACAUCAUGGAAGCCGGUCGCACCCGAAGUAUAUGCGCUAACUUUAUUGAAGCAGUAUCCUAAGGUGAGGCUGGUAACUGGGAUG